UAGGGAAUCUUCGGCAAUGGACGAAAGUCUGACCGAGCAACGCCGCGUGAGUGAAGAAGGUUUUCGGAUCGUAAAACUCUGUUGUUAGAGAAGAACAAGGACGUUAGUAACUGAACGUCCCCUGACGGUAUCUAACCAGAAAGCCACGGCUAACUACGUGCCAGCAGCCGCGGUAAUACGUAGGUGGCAAGCGUUGUCCGGAUUUAUUGGGCUUAAAGCGAGCGCAGGCGGUUUCUUAAGGCUGAUGUGAAAGCCCCCGGCUCAACCGGGGAGGGUCAUUGGAAACUGGGAGACUUGAGUGCAGAAGAGGAGAGUGGAAUUCCAUGUGUAUCGGUGAAAUGCGUAGAUAUAUGGAGGAACACCAGUGGCGAAGGCGGCUCUCUGGUCUGUAACUGACGCUAAGGCUCGAAAGCGUGGGGAGCAAACA
rnacentral:rRNA from 1 species